GCGAUAGCAGCUCAGUGGGUAAAGCGCUAGGUGAGUAGAUGGCACCAGAGCUAUUAUCCGCGCGGGUUCGAAUCCUGCCUGUGGCA